GACGAGCGCUGGCGGCGUGCUUAACACAUGCAAGUCGAGCGAGCGGCGGACGGGUGAGUAAUGUCUGGGCAACUGCCUGAUGGAGGGGGAUAACUACUGGAAACGGUAGCUAAUACCGCAUACCAUCAGAUGUGCCCAGAUGGGAUUAGCUAGUAGGUGGGGUAAUGGCUCACCUAGGCGACGAUCCCUAGCUGGGCUGAGAGGCGGACCAGCCACACUGGAACUGAGACACGGUCCAGACUCCUACGGGAGGCAGCAGUGGGGAAUAUUGCACAAUGGGCGCAAGCCUGAUGCAGCCAUGCCGCGUGUGUGAAGAAGGCCUUCGGGUUGUAAAGCACUUUCAGCGAGGAGGCGUUACUCGCAGAAGAAGCACCGGCUAACUCCGUGCCAGCAGCCGCGGUAAUAC
rnacentral:rRNA from 1 species